CGAGGGGAGUGAAAAAGAACCUGAAACCGUGUACGUACAAGCAGUGGGAGCACAGGUUUACCUGUGUGACUGCGUACCUUUUGUAUAAUGGGUCAGCGACUUAUAUUCUGUAGCAAGGUUAACCGUAUAGGGGAGCCGGAGGGAAACCGAGUCUUAACCGGGCGUUAAGUUGCAGGGUAUAGACCCGAAACCCGGUGAUCUAGCCAUGGGCAGGUUGAAGGUUGGGUAACACUAACUGGAGGACCGAACCGACUAAUGUUGAAAAAUUAGCGGAUGACCUGUGGCUGGGGGUGAAAGGCCAAUCAAACCGGGAGAUAGCUGGUUCUCCCCGAAAGCUAUUUAGGUAGCGCCUCGUGAACUCAUCUCCGGGGGUAGAGCACUGUUUCGGCUAGGGGGCCAUCCCGGCUUACCAACCCGAUGCAAACUGCGAAUACCGGAGAAUGUUAUCACGGGAGACACACGGCGGGUGCUAACGUCCGUCGUGAAGAGGGAAACAACCCAGACCGCCAGCUAAGGUCCCAAAGUCAUGGUUAAGUGGGAAACGAUGUGGGAAGGCCCAGACAGCCAGGAUGUUGGCUUAGAAGCAGCCAUCAUUUAAAGAAAGCGUAAUAGCUCACUGGUCGAGUCGGCCUGCGCGGAAGAUGUAACGGGGCUAAACCAUGCACCGAAGCUGCGGCAGCGACACUGUGUGUUGUUGGGUAGGGGAGCGUUCUGUAAGCCUGUGAAGGUGGCCUGUGAGGGUUGCUGGAGGUAUCAGAAGUGCGAAUGCUGACAUAAGUAACGAUAAAGCGGGUGAAAAGCCCGCUCGCCGGAAGACCAAGGGUUCCUGUCCAACGUUAAUCGGGGCAGGGUGAGUCGACCCCUAAGGCGAGGCCGAAAGGCGUAGUCGAUGGGAAACGGGUUAAUAUUCCCGUACUUGGUGUUACUGCGAAGGGGGGACGGAGAAGGCUAUGUUGGCCGGGCGACGGUUGUCCCGGUUUAAGCGUGUAGGUGUGUGUUCCAGGUAAAUCCGGUUCACUUUAACACUGAGGCGUGAUGACGAGGCACUACGGUGCUGAAGCAACAAAUGCCCUGCUUCCAGGAAAAGCCUCUAAGCAUCAGGUAACACGAAAUCGUACCCCAAACCGACACAGGUGGUCAGGUAGAGAAUACCAAGGCGCUUGAGAGAACUCGGGUGAAGGAACUAGGCAAAAUGGUGCCGUAACUUCGGGAGAAGGCACGCUGACACGUAGGUGAAGUGAUUUACUCAUGGAGCUGAAGUCAGUCGAAGAUACCAGCUGGCUGCAACUGUUUAUUAAAAACACAGCACUGUGCAAACACGAAAGUGGACGUAUACGGUGUGACGCCUGCCCGGUGCCGGAAGGUUAAUUGAUGGGGUCAGCGCAAGCGAAGCUCCUGAUCGAAGCCCCGGUAAACGGCGGCCGUAACUAUAACGGUCCUAAGGUAGCGAAAUUCCUUGUCGGGUAAGUUCCGACCUGCACGAAUGGCGUAAUGAUGGCCAGGCUGUCUCCACCCGAGACUCAGUGAAAUUGAACUCGCUGUGAAGAUGCAGUGUACCCGCGGCAAGACGGAAAGACCCCGUGAACCUUUACUAUAGCUUGACACUGAACAUUGAGCCUUGAUGUGUAGGAUAGGUGGGAGGCUUUGAAGUGUGGACGCCAGUCUGCAUGGAGCCGACCUUGAAAUACCACCCUUUAAUGUUUGAUGUUCUAACGUGGACCCGUUA
rnacentral:rRNA from 1 species